rnacentral:lncRNA from 1 species
UUUAGGAUUUGAUUAGAAUUUGACUAAUGUUUAUUUAGAGUUUGGUUAGGAUUUGAGUAGGAUUUAUUUAAGAUUUGGUUAAGAUUUGUUUAGGAUUUGAAUAGGAUUUGGUUAAGAUUUUUUUAGGAUUUGUUUAAGAUUUGAUUAGGAUUUGGUUAGGGUUUGGUUAAGAUUUGAUUAAAAUUUGAUUAGGAUUUUUUAGGAUUUUAUUAGGAUUUAUUUAGAAUUUAGUUAAGAUUUGUUUAGGAUUUGUUUAGAGUUUGACUAGGAUUUGGUUAAGAUUUGUUUAGGAUUUGGUUAGGAUUUGAUAAGGAUUUGAUUAAAGUUUUUUUAAGAUUUGAUUAGGAUUUGAUUAAUAUUUUUUAAGAUUUGACUAUGAUUUAUUUAAGGUUUGGUUAAGAUUUGAUUAGGAUUUGAUUAGAAUUUAAUUAAGAUUUCUAUUUUAAUAUUUUAUUA